rnacentral:rRNA from 1 species
GAUGAACGCUGGCGGCGUGCCUAAUACAUGCAAGUCGAGCGAACGGACGAGAAGCUUGCUUCUCUGAUGUUAGCGGCGGACGGGUGAGUAACACGUGGAUAACCUACCUAUAAGACUGGGAUAACUUCGGGAAACCGGAGCUAAUACCGGAUAAUAUUUUGAACCGCAUGGUUCAAAAGUGAAAGACGGUCUUGCUGUCACUUAUAGAUGGAUCCGCGCUGCAUUAGCUAGUUGGUAAGGUAACGGCUUACCAAGGCAACGAUGCAUAGCCGACCUGAGAGGGUGAUCGGCCACACUGGAACUGAGACACGGUCCAGACUCCUGCGGGAGGCAGCAGUCGGGAAUCUUCCGCAAUGGGCGAAAGCCUGACGGAGCAACGCCGCGUGAGUGAUGAAGGUCUUCGGAUCGUAAAACUCUGUUAUUAGGGAAGAACAUAUGUGUAAGUAACUGUGCACAUCUUGACGGUACCUAAUCAGAAAGCCACGGCUAACUACGUG